GACGAACGCUGGCGGCGUGCUUAACACAUGCAAGUCGAACGAAGAGCGAUGGAAGCUUGCUUCUAUCAAUCUUAGUGGCGAACGGGUGAGUAACGCGUAAUCAACCUGCCCUUCAGAGGGGGACAACAGUUGGAAACGACUGCUAAUACCGCAUACGAUCCAAUCUCGGCAUCGAGACUGGAUGAAAGGUGGCCUCUAUUUAUAAGCUAUCGCUGAAGGAGGGGAUUGCGUCUGAUUAGCUAGUUGGAGGGGUAACGGCCCACCAAGGCGAUGAUCAGUAGCCGGUCUGAGAGGAUGAACGGCCACAUUGGGACUGAGACACGGCCCAGACUCCUACGGGAGGCAGCAGUGGGGAAUCUUCCGCAAUGGACGAAAGUCUGACGGAGCAACGCCGCGUGAGUGAUGACGGCCUUCGGGUUGUAAAGCUCUGUUAAUCGGGACGAAUGGUUCUUGUGCGAAUAGUGCGAGGAUUUGACGGUACCCGGAAUAGAAAAGCCCCGG
rnacentral:rRNA from 1 species